AGAGUUUGAUCAUGGCUCAGAUUGAACGCUGGCGGCAGGCCUAACACAUGCAAGUCGAGCGGUAACACAGAGAGCUUGCUCUCGGGUGACGAGCGGCGGACGGGUGAGUAAUGUCUGGGAAACUGCCUGAUGGAGGGGGAUAACUACUGGAAACGGUAGCUAAUACCGCAUAACGUCGCAAGACCAAAGUGGGGGACCUUCGGGCCUCAUGCCAUCAGAUGUGCCCAGAUGGGAUUAGCUAGUAGGUGGGGUAACGGCUCACCUAGGCGACGAUCCCUAGCUGGUCUGAGAGGAUGACCAGCCACACUGGAACUGAGACACGGUCCAGACUCCUACGGGAGGCAGCAGUGGGGAAUAUUGCACAAUGGGCGCAAGCCUGAUGCAGCCAUGCCGCGUGUGUGAAGAAGGCCUUCGGGUUGUAAAGCACUUUCAGCGGGGAGGAAGGCGUUAAGGUUAAUAACCUUGGCGAUUGACGUUACCCGCAGAAGAAGCACCGGCUAACUCCGUGCCAGCAGCCGCGGUAAUACGGAGGGUGCAAGCGUUAAUCGGAAUUACUGGGCGUAAAGCGCACGCAGGCGGUCUGUCAAGUCGGAUGUGAAAUCCCCGGGCUCAACCUGGGAACUGCAUUCGAAACUGGCAGGCUAGAGUCUUGUAGAGGGGGGUAGAAUUCCAGGUGUAGCGGUGAAAUGCGUAGAGAUCUGGAGGAAUACCGGUGGCGAAGGCGGCCCCCUGGACAAAGACUGACGCUCAGGUGCGAAAGCGUGGGGAGCAAACAGGAUUAGAUACCCUGGUAGUCCACGCCGUAAACGAUGUCGAUUUGGAGGUUGUGCCCUUGAGGCGUGGCUUCCGGAGCUAACGCGUUAAAUCGACCGCCUGGGGAGUACGGCCGCAAGGUUAAAACUCAAAUGAAUUGACGGGGGCCCGCACAAGCGGUGGAGCAUGUGGUUUAAUUCGAUGCAACGCGAAGAACCUUACCUGGUCUUGACAUCCACAGAACUUUCCAGAGAUGGAUUGGUGCCUUCGGGAACUGUGAGACAGGUGCUGCAUGGCUGUCGUCAGCUCGUGUUGUGAAAUGUUGGGUUAAGUCCCGCAACGAGCGCAACCCUUAUCCUUUGUUGCCAGCGGUUAGGCCGGGAACUCAAAGGAGACUGCCAGUGAUAAACUGGAGGAAGGUGGGGAUGACGUCAAGUCAUCAUGGCCCUUACGACCAGGGCUACACACGUGCUACAAUGGCAUAUACAAAGAGAAGCGACCUCGCGAGAGCAAGCGGACCUCAUAAAGUAUGUCGUAGUCCGGAUUGGAGUCUGCAACUCGACUCCAUGAAGUCGGAAUCGCUAGUAAUCGUAGAUCAGAAUGCUACGGUGAAUACGUUCCCGGGCCUUGUACACACCGCCCGUCACACCAUGGGAGUGGGUUGCAAAAGAAGUAGGUAGCUUAACCUUCGGGAGGGCGCUUACCACUUUGUGAUUCAUGACUGGGGUGAAGUCGUAACAAGGUAACCGUAGGGGAACCUGCGGUUGGAUCACCU
rnacentral:rRNA from 1 species